GACGAACGCUGGCGGCGUGCUUAACACAUGCAAGUCGUACGGUAAGGCCCUUUCGGGGGUACACGAGUGGCGAACGGGUGAGUAACACGUGAGUAACCUGCCCACAACUUUGGGAUAACGCUAGGAAACUGGUGCUAAUACUGGAUAUGUGCUCCUGCUGCAUGGUGGGGGUUGGAAAGCUCCGGCGGUUGUGGAUGGACUCGCGGCCUAUCAGCUUGUUGGUGGGGUAGUGGCCUACCAAGGCGGCGACGGGUAGCCGGCCUGAGAGGGUGACCGGCCACAUUGGGGCUGAGAUACGGCCCAGACUCCUACGGGGGGCAGCAGUGGGGAAUGUUGCACGAUGGGCGCAAGCCUGAUGCAGCAACGCCGCGUGCGGGAUGACGGCCUUCGGGUUGUAAACCGCUUUCAGCAGGGACGAAGCUUUUUGUGACGGUACCUGCAGAAGAAGCACCGGCUAACUACGUG
rnacentral:rRNA from 1 species